GUGAGACCUGAGCAUCAGCAUUUUAAAAGCUGUUCAUCUGGCCACCGGGAAAGAUAUUUCUGCUCUUCAAAGAGAUGAUGACCAGUCUCGUUAAGGAUGGGGGAAGUUCAGAUGUGCUGGUCCUUGAAUCUUCACCUUAUGAGCCAGAAAUCAAGGGGCCAAUGACAGUGUUUCUAGGUUGGUGGGUCAUGGAGUCAGAAGACAAGGGACACUGAGUUGAAGCAGAAGCUGGAAGAUCCUGAAUCAGAGUUGACUUCUGUUAAGAUCUGCAGCUUUCCCUCCUUCCUUCCUCUCACGCCUACCACCUCCCCUCCACCCGCUAUCCUGCUCCCAGUGCUCUGUAGACCUCCAUUCUCACAUGACAUUGUGACCCUGGGGUGCUCCUGUCCCUCUAUGCCAACUUGCUUCCUCCUGGACCCCACCUCUUGUUGCCACCUGGUGUUAAGUUUGGGAGUCUGUGAUUCACCAAGCCCAGGCUAGGAUGCAGUGAGGGAUAGCGGUGACUCAUCGCUAGCCAUUCCAGUAAAAAGACCAGACAGCGCAGGUGCCCAGGCCCUGCCUCCGGGGAAGGCCAGCAGUCAUGAGCCUGGUGAGGUCAGCAUAGCCAGCCCAUUUCCUCGGCUGGCCCUGGGGCUGGUGUGGCCGCCUCCGUGCUGCCUAACCUGGUAUUUGCUGGAGCUCGGAACCUGUGUUUACUUUGAACAGCUUCGCCUGCCAAGUUCACGCUGGGGAAGGGAAUGCAAACACUUUGAAAGAAGGAUCCUCCCCAGGGUCCUGCUCUGCACAACAUUUUCUUUCCAAACAAGGGCCACGGGCCUGGAAAGUCUUUAUCUCUUAAUGGCGGGGUGGAAACCUACCAAUAGACUCCUAUUAAGAGCACACGCUUCCUCUGUGUAGCAUCUACUAUACUCAGGUGUGAGUCUAAACAUUUUACACAGAGUCCCUUGUAAAAACCCCACAGACAACCCUAUGAAUGUGUUGUGAUCUCCAUUUUACUGAUGGGGACUCUGAGGCCCUCAAGGACUGAGUCACUUGCCUAGGGCCAAAAUGGUAGUAAAUAGAGGGUCCGAGUUUGAACUAAGGGAAUAUAGUUUGGGCCUCUUUCUUGUCUUCAGCAUCUCAGAUCCUGGCUAACAACUAGUUCAUCCUUAGCGCCACCACCCCGUCUCCCUUGAAGCCCCUACUGACUCACCAGCUUGCUCUGGCAUUUCUAUGUCCUCCAUCCAUCUCCACCGGGCCUCGGCACAGCCCAGGUUACUAUCAGCUCUCAUUCUUAUGUGAGCUCCUGACCUGCCCAUGCUUCUGCCCUCACCACUCUCCUCCCAGCCCACUUUCCCUCCACAAGUCACAACCACCUUUUACUCUCAGAUGUCACAGCACACAGCCACCCACCACCCUAUGGACUCCCAGGGCUUGCCCACUGCCGUGAUUCCCACCUUGCGGCCAGCAAGGCACCACGUCAUCUGACCCCGGCCCCUUCUCUGUUUCUCCCUUGACUGCUGCACACUUUGCCUGCUCCGGCUCCUAGCAGCUGCCCACUUCCUUGCCAGCACUUGGUCUCUGUACACAUUAUUCCAUCAGAGAGGAACUGGCUCCUUGAGAACUCUAGUUUACCGAUGCAACUCUGAAGCUGGGUGGAGUGGCAUGCAUCUCUAAUCCCAGUGCUCAGGAGCCUGAGGCAGGAGGAUCUUGAGUUGAAGACCAGCUUAGGUUGUACACUAUUUUAGGCUACACAAUAAGACCCUGUCUCAAAAGCAAAACAACCCAGGUCUGCUCUUCACAGGCACCUUCUCUGACCCAUCAUGCUGUUUGAUGCUCUUGUAUCUUCCAUAGCAUCACAGUUUGAAAGUGUGUGUGGCCACACAUACGCACACAUACACAUGCACACACACACACAAACACACACACAAACACACACACACACACACACACACACACAGAGAGAGAGAGAGAGAGACAGAGAGAGAGAGAGAGAGAGAGAGAGAGAGAGAGAGAGAGAGAGAGAGAGAGAGGGAAACUCACUAUGUAAUCAUGCAUGGCUUGAAGCUCACCAUGUAGACUAGGUUGGCCUUGCCUGAAACUCAGGGAGAUCUGCCUGUCUCUGCCUCCCAAGUGCUAGGAUUAAAGGCCUGUGCCACCAUGCCUGGCACAUAUUUCUUUAGUUUCAUUCCUCAUUAUCCAUCUUCCCCCACUGUACUAGGCAUGUCCAUUUAAUUCUCUAAAGCCUAGAGUUAGGAGGGCAGCGUAUAGCUGAGCUAGAAACCCAGCUCGAGGGCUUUCUGUUUCCUCAGCACAAGAAGAGCUCCUCGUUCCCAGAUCUACCACCUUCCUCGCAUUCCAGAUGGACACCCUUGAUUCUAACGUCAGUUCAGAUCUGAUCACUGGUGACUGAUACAUUACCUCUCUAUAGAUUUCCAUGACAGAGUGAGCCCCAAGGAAGAGCCUGACUGCAGAACUGGGAAAAGAUGCACACGGCUGCUGGACAGAGCCUGGUCCAGCACAUGGCAGCCACUGGCUCAAUACAAAACAACCUUAUCUGCAGUGUGGGUGUGGGUGUGUGAGGUUCCAAGAGUCCGACGUCUGUGGUCAGAGGGCUCACCAGCUUGGCCAGGUGGUAUGGCUUUGUAUGGUAUGGGAAUAUGGCCAAUGGUUAGAUGUUUGUUCAGGGAGAGACCCUUCAACAUUCUGACUUCUGUUCCCCAGCUUUGUGCACUUUAAACAAAUAACUCUCUGAAAACUAAUUUUCCUCCUCUAUCAAAUUGAGACAAUAAUGGUCAUUUUACAGCUGUUUGGGUGGCUGAGUGUGCUUAAACGCAGCUAUAUUUCCCUGGGAGGUGAGGGAUGUUAGUAGGGUCGUUCUUGAGGCCCUGUCCAGCUGGCCUGCACCGGCUGCUGUCACUGACUUCCCUGAUGGAGGUGGUCCUCGCUCUAUUCGGAUUCAGGGAUGGAAUGCUUCCAGAGAGCCCAAAGAAGUGGCAGUUGGAGGACAGUAGGUGAUGAGACACAGGGCACACAGAGGCGUGUUUCCAGGUAGAUACAACCUU